AUUGAACAUAAGAGUUUGAUCCUGGCUCAGAUUGAACGCUGGCGGCAUGCUUUACACAUGCAAGUCGAACGGCAGCACGGAAGAGCUUGCUCUUUUGGUGGCGAGUGGCGAACGGGUGAGUAAUGCAUCGGAACGUACCGAGUAGUGGGGGAUAACUGUCCGAAAGGAUGGCUAAUACCGCAUACGCUUUGAGAAGGAAAGCGGGGGCUCUUAGGACCUCGCGCUAUUCGAGCGGCCGAUGUCUGAUUAGCUAGUUGGUGGGGUAAGAGCCUACCAAGGCGACGAUCAGUAGCGGGUCUGAGAGGAUGAUCCGCCACACUGGGACUGAGACACGGCCCAGACUCCUACGGGAGGCAGCAGUGGGGAAUUUUGGACAAUGGGGGCAACCCUGAUCCAGCCAUGCCGCGUGUCUGAAGAAGGCCUUCGGGUUGUAAAGGACUUUUGUCAGGGAAGAAAGGGUUUGUGCUAAUACCACGAACAUAUGACGGUACCUGAAGAAUAAGCACCGGCUAACUACGUGCCAGCAGCCGCGGUAAUACGUAGGGUGCGAGCGUUAAUCGGAAUUACUGGGCGUAAAGCGGGCGCAGACGGUUACUUAAGUCAGAUGUGAAAUCCCCGGGCUCAACCUGGGAACUGCGUUUGAAACUGGGUAGCUAGAGUAUGUCAGAGGGGGGUAGAAUUCCACGUGUAGCAGUGAAAUGCGUAGAGAUGUGGAGGAAUACCGAUGGCGAAGGCAGCCCCCUGGGAUAAUACUGACGUUCAUGCCCGAAAGCGUGGGUAGCAAACAGGAUUAGAUACCCUGGUAGUCCACGCCCUAAACGAUGUCAAUUAGCUGUUGGGGCACUUGAUGCCUUAGUAGCGUAGCUAACGCGUGAAAUUGACCGCCUGGGGAGUACGGUCGCAAGAUUAAAACUCAAAGGAAUUGACGGGGACCCGCACAAGCGGUGGAUGAUGUGGAUUAAUUCGAUGCAACGCGAAGAACCUUACCUGGUCUUGACAUGUACGGAAUCCUCCAGAGACGGAGGAGUGCCUUCGGGAGCCGUAACACAGGUGCUGCAUGGCUGUCGUCAGCUCGUGUCGUGAGAUGUUGGGUUAAGUCCCGCAACGAGCGCAACCCUUGUCAUUAGUUGCCAUCAUUAAGUUGGGCACUCUAAUGAGACUGCCGGUGACAAGCCGGAGGAAGGUGGGGAUGACGUCAAGUCCUCAUGGCCCUUAUGACCAGGGCUUCACACGUCAUACAAUGGUCGGUACAGAGGGUAGCCAAGCCGCGAGGUGGAGCCAAUCUCAUAAAACCGAUCGUAGUCCGGAUUGCACUCUGCAACUCGAGUGCAUGAAGUCGGAAUCGCUAGUAAUCGCAGGUCAGCAUACUGCGGUGAAUACGUUCCCGGGUCUUGUACACACCGCCCGUCACACCAUGGGAGUGGGGGAUACCAGAAGUAGGUAGGGUAACCGCAAGGAGCCCGCUUACCACGGUAUGCUUCAUGACUGGGGUGAAGUCGUAACAAGGUAGCCGUAGGGGAACCUGCGGCUGGAUCACCUCCUUUCUAG
rnacentral:rRNA from 1 species